UAGUCCACGCCGUAAACGAUGUGUGCUAGAUGUCGGGUCCAUAGGAUUCGGUGUCGCAGCUAACGCACUAAGCACACCGCCUGGGGAGUACGGUCGCAAGAUUAAAACUCAAAGGAAUUGACGGGGACCCGCACAAGCGGUGGAGCAUGUUCUUUAAUUCGAAGCAACGCGAAGAACCUUACCUACACUUGACAUACUCGUCGGGAAUUUCAGAGAUGAUUUUCUUCGGUUCGGCCGGACGAGAUACAGGUGCUGCACGGCUGUCGUCAGCUCGUGUCGUGAGAUGUUUGGUUAAGUCCAGCAACGAGCGCAACCCCUAUCGUAUGUUGCCAGCAUUCAGUUGGGCACUCAUGCGAGACUGCCGGUGAUAAGCCGGAGGAAGGUGGGGAUGACGUCAAGUCCUCAUGGCCCAUACAAGCUGGGCUACACACGUGCUACAAUGGCGAUGACAGUGAGCAGCUAACCGCGAGGCAGCUAAUCUAA
rnacentral:rRNA from 1 species